rnacentral:rRNA from 1 species
UACAGAGGUGGCAAGCGUUGUUCGGAAUUACUGGGCGUAAAGGGCGCGUAGGCGGCCUUCUAAGUCAGACGUGAAAUCCCUCGGCUUAACUGGGGAACUGCGUCUGAUACUGGAUGGCUUGAGUUUGGGAGAGGGACGCGGAAUUCCAGGUGUAGCGGUGAAAUGCGUAGAUAUCUGGAGGAACACCGGUGGCGAAGGCGGCGUCCUGGACCAACACUGACACUGAUGAGCGAAAGCCAGGGGAGCAAACGGG